UGCUGAGCUCCAUGGUGCCAAGGGCUGAGCUCCAUGAGCCAGGGCUGGGAGGCUGGAACUUAUACCUGCAGAAAAAGAAGAGUCCCUAUUUCCAUAGGACAAAGGAAAUAUCUUGUUUUUGAUUUCUUGGAAGAGGAAGCACUCUGGGCAAGAGGUAUGAGCCGGGAUGAAGUGGACUCCUUGUCUGGAGGUGGUGCUACACACCUUGGAGGGGCUCCUGGGAGCUACUGAGAAUGUCCCCUAAGUCAGUAUUCCUGCCUCAUCUGAAAUGCCAGUCUUCAUCCUCAUCUACUGCACACUUGAGUCCAUGAGAUUUUAGAGUGAAAUGAAAUCUUGUUAUGUCGUCCAGGGUGGUCUUCAACACCUAGCCUCAAGCAAUCCUCCCACCUUGGCCUCCCAAAGCACUGGGAUUACAGGUGUGAACACUGAACCACUGAACCCAGCCUAAUGUUUUAUUUUAUUAAAGUUUUUGUUUUUUAAGCUGAAA